ensembl:lncRNA LOC102554222 uncharacterized LOC102554222
GGAAUGUGGGUGCCUGCUCUGCAGCUUUCUCCUUUAUAGAAAAUUACUGGGCUAGCUGCAAACCAGCAGGCAGGUGGUGUGGUCCCCGGACAGGACCUGUAGCCUGGUCAGUCCAGCAGCCAGCGGAUGGAAAAGGCAAGUCCAGAGACACCCACGUCCACGUGCAUUAACUACCCCACUGAUGGGGCUCAGGAUGUGCCACUCUAGACAGGCUUCCUACAUCUGGGAGGAAGCAGAGACAGGGAGGUCUUUACCCUCACCUUUCUCCCACGAAACCAGCCCUGAGCUCCUCACGCUGUGCUUACCACAGACAUCAGGGCUGGGUAGAACCGGAACAGAUUGCUCCUUCUAGGCCCCGCCCUGCUCAUCACCAUGUGUUCACACUCACCUUUGCUCCAGUGUCCUCUCUAUAAUAGGAUUUACAGUGACUCGUGGGCUCAACUUCAGACCGUCCUACAGACACACAGACCUCCCAUUUCUCUGGCCCUUCCACUCCAUUUUUGAAACAAGGUCCCAGAUAGCCCAGCCUUGCCACAACCUUAAACCCCCAAUCCUCCUGCCUCCACCCUUCAGUGAUGGUGAGAUGACUCUUACCUGCUGCUAAGCCUGACCCAGGGACCCACAUGGUAGAUGGAGAAGACUGACAGCUGCCCUCUGACCGUCACACAUGUGUCAUAGCAUGUGUGUGUCCACACCCACAAAAGCAAAUCAUGACACGCACACACGCAUGAGUUUCAUGACUGCCAGGCAAACACCUUAGCAGCUUAGCUAUAUCCCCAGACCAGUAGCAUUCUCCUUCUUUGACUUUUUUUUAAAGUUUUAUUCUUUGACAAUCUCAUACAUGUAUAUAGUGUGGUUUUUCAAUCUUAAAUUUUUAUUCUUAUUAUUUUAAUUAUGUAUAUUGGUGUGUCUGUAUGUAGCUAUGUGCCCCUGAGUGUGGGAGUCCUACUCAUGUAUGUUGUGUGUGUCUGUAUGUAGCUAUGUGCCCCUGAGUGUGGGAGUCCUACUCAUGUAUGUUGUUUGUGUCUGUAUAUAGCUAUGUACCUCUGAGUGUGGGAGUCCUACUCAUGUACAUUGUAUGUGUCUGUAUGGAGCUUUGUGCCCCUAAGUGUGGCAGUCCUUGGAAGCCAGAAGCUGCAGAUCGUCCUGGAGCUGGUCAUACAGGCAGUUGUGAGCCCCGACGAUUCAGGUCGUCUGGAGGAUCAACAAUGAAAAAUCCUGAACAAAGUAUUACUGGGAGCUGGGGAGAUGCCAGUAUCACCGAUUGUUUGCCAUGCAAGCAUAAAGACUUGAGUUGGACUGGAGAGAUGGCUCAGUGGUUAAGAACACUGACUGCUCUUCCAGAGGUCCCAAGUUCAAACCCCAGCAACCACAUGGUGGCUCACAACCAUCUGUAAUGAGAUCUGAUGCUUUCAUCUGGUGUGUCUGAAGACAGCUACAAUGCACUCAUAUAUAAUAAAUAAAUAAGUCUUUAAAAAAAAUGGAGAAAUGGCUCAGAGGUUAAGAGCACUGUCUGCUCUUCCAGAGGUCAUGAGUUCAAUUCCCAGCAACCACAUGGUGGCUCACAACCAUCUAUAAUGAGAUCUGGUGCCCUCUUCUGGCCUGCAC